rnacentral:rRNA from 1 species
AGCUCCAAUAGCGUAUAUUAAAGUUGUUGCGGUUAAAAGCUCGUAGUUGGAUAUCUGCAUGAAAGGAGCAGUCCGCCCAUUGGGUGAGCUACCGCCACCAAUCUUGCAUCUGUCUGAGAAGGCGUUCCUCCCUUCAUUGAGAGGUCGCAUGCAUCAGAGCAUUUACUUUGAGGAAAUGAGAGUGUUUCAAGCAGGCAAAUGCCUUGAAUACGAUAGCAUGGAAUAAUAGCAUCGGACCAUCGUCCAGCUGUUGGUGUCUGGGCGAGGGUAAAGGUGAAUAGGGAUUGUUGGGGGCAUUCGUACUUAACUGUCAGAGGUGAAAUUCUUGGAUUUGUUGAAGACGAACUACUGCGAAAGCAUUUGCCAAAGAUGUUCUCA